GGAAGGGGGAGCCGGUUUUGGGAGGGGGCGGACUAGGGACGAGGACAAGGGCUAAGGGCUAAUGUCUUUGGAGAAAGGGGUUCCGUUUGGACAUCCGCUCUGGGACAUGAGGGAGUGGCUGGGUAAGCCGCAAAGGGCGGCGAGGGGGCGCGACAGGGCCCGCGGCCAGGGCGCCCGAGGCCAGGCGCGGACCCGCGGGCGGUCGCAACUGGAGCCUGGAAGCAGAGGGCCGCAGACGAUGCGAGAAAAAUUGUGGAUGCCCUGGAACGGGCUCAUUGUGAUCGGGAAGAGAAUGGAGCUCCUGGGUAGAAACACGCAAAAGCCUAGGAUGUGGGACCCGAAGCUUGAGUCUGAGGACUGGAGACUGGAAGAUGUGGAAAAGGCAGUCUUGAGAGGAAAGUCAGGCCGGAGUCAGGAAAGGAUGGAUGUGAAACGAGUGCGCAGUGUAGCAAGUGCAGUACAGGCUUCCGCGGGUUUGCGGAAAGACAACUCCAAGGAGGUGUGGGGAAAGCAAGAAGUCAGACACGAAAUAGGGGCUGAAUCUGAGAAUGCAGGGACUACAGCGGGGUCUAGGGGGGGACCUGGGUUUAAAGAGAGGUUCAAGUUUACUGGAGUGGGAACCAGUGGAGAGGACUCGAGAUCCAGAGGAUACGAACUAGGGCAGAAUGCGGAGGAGCUGAGGUCAAGUGGAGAGAAGCUGAGGUCAGGUGGAGAGAAGCUGAGGUCGAGUGGAGAGAAGCUGAGGUUGAGUGGAGAGAAGCUGGUGUUCAGCGGGGAAAGGCGGGGAUCCAGGGGAGAGAAGCUGGGGACUAGUGGAGAGAAAUUGGAGGGUUCAAGAAUGGGGAGCAUAAAUGAAGAGAAAAUUGAAAGAGUGAAAGUUACUGGUGAUGAAAGAUUGAUAGAAAUUACUGAUGCUGAGAUGGACAUUCCUUUUGAAAAGGUCUCUGCCUUCCCAAGACCAUCCACUGCUGGCCUCCUCUGGUGA
rnacentral:lncRNA from 1 species